CAAUAGCGUAUAUUAAAGUUGUUGCGGUUAAAGAGCUCGUAGUUGGAUUUCUGCUGAGAACGACCGGUCCGCCCUUUGGGUGUGUAUCUGGCUCUUUCUUGGCAUCUUCUUGGUGAACGUUGCUGCACUUGACUGUGUGGAGCGCUACCCAGGACUUUUACUUUGAGGAAAUUAGAGUGUUUCAAGCAGGCAUACGCCUUGAAUACAUUAGCAUGGAAUAAUAAGAUAGGACCUCGGUUCUAUUUUGCUGGUUUCUAGAGCUGAGGCAAUGAUUAAUAGGGAUAGUUGGGGGCAUUCGUAUUUAACUGUCAGAGGUGAAAUUCUUGGAUUUGUUAAAGCCGGACUACUGCGAAAGCAUUUGCCAAGGAUGUUUUCAUUGA
rnacentral:rRNA from 1 species